ensembl:snoRNA SNORA70 Small nucleolar RNA SNORA70
CUACAAUUAAUGAAGCCAAUGGGUGCCCUGCUGUGGGUUCCCAGUGUGCAGUGGAUGCAAACAGCUAGCUCCUUGGUGGAGUUCACAGCCUGCGGCUUGUAUGGGCUGCCCUAAGAGGCCUUGCAGAUCCUG